rnacentral:rRNA from 1 species
AACGAACGCUGGCGGCAUGCCUAACACAUGCAAGUCGAACGAGACCUUCGGGUCUAGUGGCGCACGGGUGCGUAACGCGUGGGAACCUGCCCUUAGGUUCGGAAUAACUCCCCGAAAGGGGUGCUAAUACCGGAUAAUGCCUUCGGACCAAAGAUUUAUCGCCUUUGGAUGGGCCCGCGUUGGAUUAGCUAGUUGGUAGGGUAAAAGCCUACCAAGGCGACGAUCCAUAGCUGGUCUGAGAGGAUGAUCAGCCACACUGGGACUGAGACACGGCCCAGACUCCUACGGGAGGCAGCAGUGGGGAAUAUUGGACAAUGGGCGAAAGCCUGGUCCAGCAAUGCCGCGUGAGUGAUGAAGGCCUUAGGGUUGUAAAGCUCUUUUACCCGGGAUGAUAAUGACAGUACCGGGAGAAUAAGCUCCGGCUAACUCCGUG